CAGUCCUACGGGACGCAGCAGCCGCGGUAAUACGGAGGAUGCGAGCGUUAUCCGGAUUUAUUGGGUUUAAAGGGUGCGUAGGCGGGCUUUUAAGUCAGCGGUAAAAAUUCGGGGCUCAACCCCGUCCGGCCGUUGAAACUGGGGGCCUUGAGUGGGCGAGAAGAAGGCGGAAUGCGUGGUGUAGCGGUGAAAUGCAUAGAUAUCGCGCAGAACUCCGAUUGCGAAGGCAGCAUGCCGGCUCCACACUGACGCUGAGGCACGAAAGCGUGGGUAUCGAACAGGAUUAGAUACCCUGGUAGUCCUAA
rnacentral:rRNA from 1 species